CAUUGGAAGUACGGAGUCUUAACCACCGGACCACUAGGGAAGUCUCGAGAUGAGAAGAGAAGCUUUUGAAGAGCCACUAGCCACCUGUGAUCAGCUGGAGAAAUGCCGUCCUGUUGCAGGCCUGUUGAGGAUUCAGCAAUGAACAAAGGCAGGCAUCACCAAGAAAAGGCCAGAUGAGGCCAGUGAGAAGGCAGCUAGCCGUCUGGAAAAAGGAAGAGAGCUCUCAGUAGAAACCAAAUCCGCCAGCACCUUGA